rnacentral:rRNA from 1 species
GGGCCCGCACAAGCGGUGGAGCAUGUGGUUUAAUUCGAUGCAACGCGAAGAACCUUACCUACUCUUGACAUCCAGAGAAGCCAGCGGAGACGCAGGUGUGCCUUCGGGAGCUCUGAGACAGGUGCUGCAUGGCUGUCGUCAGCUCGUGUUGUGAAAUGUUGGGUUAAGUCCCGCAACGAGCGCAACCCUUAUCCUUGUUUGCCAGCGAGUAAUGUCGGGAACUCCAGGGAGACUGCCGGUGAUAAACCGGAGGAAGGUGGGGACGACGUCAAGUCAUCAUGGCCCUUACGAGUAGGGCUACACACGUGCUACAAUGGCGCAUACAGAGGGCAGCAAGCCAGCGAUGGUGAGCGAAUCCCAAAAAGUGCGUCGUAGUCCGGAUUGGAGUCUGCAACUCGACUCCAUGAAGUCGGAAUCGCUAGUAA